GCACCGUUGGUGUAGGGGUAACACACAAUCUGAUCUUCGACCGAAAGAAGAACAUUGAGGUUGGGUCCUGGGUUCGAAUCCCAGACGGUGCG